CAUAUGCUUUGGCCAAAGACUUUAGAAUCAUAUCUUAGAGUAUUCUCCUUCCACCAUGGAAGGUUAGAGAUCUCUUGUUAUGCAUUCAUAUGCCUACAUGACUAGAUAGCUUGACCCCAACAAUGUCGUGGACACUCCGAUGGAAUGUCGUUGACAUGAUCAAAGAUCAAUGACCUAACCAUUAGACAUCUAUGAUGCCUCAGGUCAAAGGACUACUUUGCAUAUUGCAACUUUCGAGUUCUUACAUGACAUGAAUGUUCGAACUCUCUUUUGAUCGUCGUUCAGUGUACUCGAUUACUCUUUCGAGCACCUAUGUGUUUGUCUUAGUGUUCAACACCAAAUGACUUGAGACUAGUCAUACUCAUGCUUGAGUUGACAUAACACAUACUAACCUUAGCGGAUUGUCAAUACCCAAUCGGCAAUCCUAUGGCUAGGAACGUUUUAGGAAUGAACAUAAGAGAAUGGUCUCGAUA
rnacentral:lncRNA from 1 species